UCCUGCUCCCUCCGGGAGGAGCCGUCCAGCUCCUGGGCGCCCUGGCGGCCCAGCCUGCGCUCCGCCGAGCCGCCUGGGGGGGUUUUGGGGGACAUUUAGGGUCGCCCCCCGAUUUUAGGGGGCGUCUCCCACCUUUAGGGGGGGCCCAGCACCUUUGGGUGCCCCCCCCGGGGAGCUCGGCACCCACCUGUGUGUGCUGGGCCCUCCUCGUCCUCCUCACACUCCACUUCCACGGUGUCGGCGGGGGGCGCUCCUGGAGGGGGGGGAAAGGCAAAAAUUGGGGGUUUUGGCCCCAAAAUGUGGCGUUUUGGGGGCUUGUUAGCUCGGAGCGGGGUUAUGGUUAGCUCGGAGAGGGACCCCGGUGUCCCAUAUUGGGCACUUUUUACCCCAAAACAGCCCCAUUACCUCAUGUCAGAACCCCAUUAUCACUUAUUGCGACCCCAUUGUCCCAUUUUGGGCCCUUUUUACCCCAAAACAGCCCCGUUACCUCCCCCCAACCCCCUUAUUCCCCACCAGGACCCCAUUACCUUUUUUUGGGACCCCAUCACCCCAUUUUGGGACCCUUUUUCCUCAUUUUGGGACCCCAUCACCUCACUUUGAGCCCCCUUUACCCCAAACCCACCCCAGGACCCCCUCCCCUCAUUUGGGGACCCCAUUACCACAUUUUGGGACCCUUUUUCCGCAUUUUGGGACCCCCUCACCUGGUUUUAGGACCCCUUUACCUCACUUUAGGGCCCUCUCACCUCAUUUUGGGACCCCCCACCUCAUUUUGGGACCCUUUUAACUCUCUUUAGGACCCCCUCACCUCAUUUAAGGACCCCUUUACCUCAUUUUGGGCCCCUUUUACCUCAUUUCGGGACCCUUUUACCUCAUUUAACCCCCCCUCACCUCACACCGGGACCCCUUUACCUCAUUUUG
rnacentral:lncRNA from 1 species